GGGCGCUCGCCGCGCCUGCACCUGUCCCUUGGGAGGACCCCGAGGGCGGCCCCGGGGGUCCCUCGGCGGGGGCCGGUCCCGUGCGCCGCCCGAGCUCAGGUGUGGGCUGAGCUGGCGUUGGGCCCCGGGGUGGUUCGGCGGGGAGUCGGUUGGCAUCAGGGCUCCCGGGUCCGCACCUGCUCACUAGCGUCUCAGAGACCAAGUGGUUUCUUCCCCGCGGGACCCAGAGGGCCAAGCGCGCCCCCGGCUGCGGGUGGGCCUGGGGUUCACCCGGCAGAAGCCCGGCCCGGCCCGGCCCGCGCCGCGUCGGGGACAGCCUGGGUGCUUCCGAUGGUCGCCAGCCUUCUCAAUCUCUUCUCCUGAAAUUUAAAUGUUUUCUCCUGAUUUUAACAGUUCAGGAAGCAGACCUUCAUGCUCGUGAGUAAGUUGAGACGUUGAGCUCGGACAAACGAGCUGUGCCCCAUCGUUUGCAAAUUUUCAGUUUAAAAUCCUAGGGGAGAGGGAGGGGGUAAAAAAAUAAAAGAAAAUAAAAUCACAGGCACCAGAAGCUGUGUUAGCACCGUUCUAAGUACCGUGUGAAGAAAGCGACUAAAAGGGCUAAGAAAGUCAGCUUUAGACUUGGUUUUAUUUUAUUAUUUUUUAAAAGAUUUUAUUUAUUUAUUCAUGAGAGACACAGGCAGAGGGAGAAGCAGGCUCCAUGGAGGGAGCCCAAUGCGGGACUCGAUCCCAGGUCUCCAGGGUCAGACCCUGGGCCCAAGGCAGGCGCUCAACCCCUGAGCCACCCAGGGAUCCCCUAGACUUGGUUGUAAAUGAUUUUCACCCGUAUCUUUGUCUUCAGCUCUUCUUCAAGUACGUGUGGGCAGUCUUGCUACGUGGAUUUGAUGCCAACUUCUAGCUCUUUGCUUCCUAACAAGGUGCCGCCUUUUUCACUCACUCAGCAAGUAUUUCCUCAGUGCCAGCCGGGCCCAAGCACUAGUCUUGCCCCCAGAGAUUUGCCAGUGCAUGAUCUGUGCUGUCUUGGAGUGAAGAGUCCCCCAAAUGAGGACAAUCAUUCAUUUCCAAAAACCCACCAGGACUGCUGA
rnacentral:lncRNA from 1 species